GAUGAACGCUGGCGGCGUGCCUAAUACAUGCAAGUCGAGCGAACGGACGAGAAGCUUGCUUCACUGAUGUUAGCGGCGGACGGGUGAGUAACACGUGGAUAACCUACCUAUAAGACUGGGAUAACUUCGGGAAACCGGAGCUAAUACCGGAUAAUAUUUUGAACCGCAUGGUUCAAAAGUGAAAGACGGUCUUGCUGUCACUUAUAGAUGGAUCCGCGCUGCAUUAGCUAGCUGGUAAGGUAACGGCUUACCAAGGCAACGAUGCAUAGCCGACCUGAGAGGGUGAUCGGCCACACUGGAACUGAGACACGGUCCAGACUCCUACGGGAGGCAGCAGUAGGGAAUCUUCCGCAAUGGGCGAAAGCCUGACGGAGCAACGCCGCGUGAGUGAUGAAGGUCUUCGGAUCGUAAAACUCUGUUAUUAGGGAAGAACAUAUGUGUAAGUAACUGUGCACAUCUUGACGGUACCUAAUCAGAAAGCCACGGCUAACUACGUG
rnacentral:rRNA from 1 species